CGCCGCGGCCAGAGGGCGACCUCGUCACCAGGCUCCCCGGGCAACCAGAGGUCGGGUUCAAGCACUACGCCGGCUACGUCGACGUCGGAAAGGGCGGCGACAAGGCGCUCUUCUACUGGUUCUUCGAGGCCGAGAAGGGGCCGGAGAGAAGCCCCUCAUGCUGUGGGCUAUGGCUCAACGGAGGGCAAUGGAUAAAAUCUACUCUGGAUAGUUGACAGAGGGAGUACAUGCUAAGUUGACUUUUUUCCUGCGGAUUUGCUUAUCGUGAAGAUGCUUGCAAGGAUGCAGAGGGAGCGGAUCAUUUGGAGAGAUAGGAUGCCACUGUUUGGUGUUUUUAUGCAUUUUGGUUUGCCUGUAACUGUGUUUGCACUAGUUGGGACUAAGUGACUUGGCAAGAAGUGUAGGUGUUUUAAUUGAGGCAUGAAAAGCCAUGACAAUAUGUAUGCUCUUACAGGAUGUGCUCUAAUGCCGCUGGUUUAUUAUAAAUCUUGGAUUAGUAAUGAUGUGUAAUGCUGCUGCUUUAUUGCAAAUAUGUGUUUUUUA